UGGGGAAUCUUGCGCAAUGGGCGAAAGCCUGACGCAGCCAUGCCGCGUGAAUGAUGAAGGUCUUAGGAUUGUAAAAUUCUUUCACCGGGGACGAUAAUGACGGUACCCGGAGAAGAAGCCCCGGCUAACUUCGUGCCAGCAGCCGCGGUAAUACGAAGGGGGCUAGCGUUGCUCGGAAUUACUGGGCGUAAAGGGCGCGUAGGCGGAUCGUUAAGUCAGAGGUGAAAUCCCAGGGCUCAACCCUGGAACUGCCUUUGAUACUGGCGAUCUUGAGUAUGAGAGAGGUAUGUGGAACUCCGAGUGUAGAGGUGAAAUUCGUAGAUAUUCGGAAGAACACCAGUGGCGAAGGCGACAUACUGGCUUAUUACUGACGCUGAGGCGCGAAAGCGUGGGGAGCAAACAGG
rnacentral:rRNA from 1 species